rnacentral:rRNA from 1 species
GACGAACGCUGGCGGCGUGCCUAAUACAUGCAAGUCGAGCGAAUCUUUUGGGAGCUUGCUCCCUUAAGAUUAGCGGCGGACGGGUGAGUAACACGUGGGUAACCUGCCUGUAAGACUGGGAUAACUUCGGGAAACCGGAGCUAAUACCGGAUACUUUCUUUUCUCGCAUGAGGGAAGAUGGAAAGAUGGUUCUGCUAUCACUUACAGAUGGACCCGCGGCGCAUUAGCUAGUUGGUGAGGUAACGGCUCACAAAGGCGACGAUGCGUAGCCGACCUGAGAGGGUGAUCGGCCACACUGGGACUGAGACACGGCCCAGACUCCUACGGGAGGCAGCAGUAGGGAAUCUUCCGCAAUGGACGAAAGUCUGACGGAGCAACGCCGCGUGAGCGAAGAAGGCCUUCGGGUCGUAAAGCUCUGUUGUUGGGGAAGAACAAGUACGAGAGUAACUGCUCGUACCUUGACGGUACCUAACCAGAAAGCCACGGCUAACUACGUGCCAGCAGCCGCGGUAAUAC